CCUUACCUGGCCUUGACAUACUAAGAACUUUCCAGAGAUGGAUUGGUGCCUUCGGGAACUUAGAUACAGGUGCUGCAUGGCUGUCGUCAGCUCGUGUCGUGAGAUGUUGGGUUAAGUCCCGCAACGAGCGCAACCCUUUUCCUUAUUUGCCAGCGGGUUAAGCCGGGAACUUUAAGGAUACUGCCAGUGACAAACUGGAGGAAGGCGGGGACGACGUCAAGUCAUCAUGGCCCUUACGGCCAGGGCUACACACGUGCUACAAUGGUCGGUACAAAGGGUUGCUACCUCGCAAGAGGAUGCUAAUCUCAAAAAGCCGAUCGUAGUCCGGAUCGCAGUCUGCAACUCGACUGCGUGAAGUCGGAAUCGCUAGUAAUCGCGGAUCAGAAUGCCGCGGUGAAUACGUUCCCGGGCCUUGUACACACCGCCCGUCACACCAUGGGAGUUUGUUGCACCAGAAGUAGGUAGUCUAACCGCAAGGAGGACGCUUACCACGGUGUGGCCGAUGACUGGGGUGAAGUCGUAACAAGGUAAGCGUAGAUGA
rnacentral:rRNA from 1 species